CAGAAGCCUUAGUUAAGGCCAAGGAAUGGUUGGUGGACCUCGUUGAUAGAAGUGUGGAAGCUGGUAAGCCGCGUCAAGGGGAUCCAGUUCGAUCAGCAUGUAGCAAGGGCGCUCCUGGCUCACAGACUAAUUUUUCUACUGUCCCAACGUUGGCUGGAAAAUCUCGCAUCAGACUAUUGACCGAUCUUGUUAUAUUAAGAGAGGCAAAGGAAUGGAUAUUGUAUCUUACUGAGGAGCGUCUGGAAGCAUGGCCAGACGCGAGUCAAGGGUAUCCACUUCAGUAUCUGAGUAAACAAGGUGCUUUGGCUGAUCGACUCUCAAAGACUGCAACUGGUGCCUUCACAUGGCCUACUAUCGGAAGUUCUAGAAUCUCGUCAAA